AAUUUUCCACAAUGGGCGAAAGCCUGAUGGAGCAACACCGCGUGCAGGAUGAAGGCCUUCGGGUCGUAAACUGCUUUUCUUUGUGACGAAUCUGACUGUAGCAAAGGAAUAAGGAUCGGCUAACUACGUGCCAGCAGCCGCGGUCAUACGUAGGAUCCAAGCAUUAUCCGGAAUUACUGGGCGUAAAGAGUUGCGUAGGUGGCAUUGUAAGCAGGGCAUGAAAUUGUGUGGCUCAACCAUACAACUAUGUUCUGAACUGCAAAGCUAGAGAGCAAGAGGGGUAGAUGGAAUUACUAGUGUAGGAGUGAAAUCCGUAGAUAUUAGUAGGAACACCGAUAGCGUAGGCAGUCUACUGGCUUGUUUCUGACACUCAGGCACGAAAGCGUGGGGAGCGAAC
rnacentral:rRNA from 1 species